rnacentral:rRNA from 1 species
GAUGAACGCUGGCGGCGUGCCUAAUACAUGCAAGUCGAGCGAACGGACGAGAAGCUUGCUUCUCUGAUGUUAGCGGCGGACGGGUGAGUAACACGUGGAUAACCUACCUAUAAGACUGGGAUAACUUCGGGAAACCGGAGCUAAUACCGGAUAAUAUUUUGAACCGCAUGGUUCAAAAGUGAAAGACGGUCUUGCUGUCACUUAUAGAUGGAUCCGCGCUGCAUUAGCUAGUUGGUAAGGUAACGGCUUACCAAGGCAACGAUGCAUAGCCGACCUGAGAGGGUGAUCGGCCACACUGGAACUGAGACACGGUCCAGACUCCUACGGGAGGCAGCAGUAGGGAAUCUUCCGCUAUGGGCGAAAGCCUGACGGAGCAACGCCGCGUGAGUGAUGAAGGUCUUCGGAUCGUAAAACUCUGUUAUUAGGGAAGAACAUAUGUGUAAGUAACUGUGCACAUCUUGACGUUACCUAAUCAGAAAGCCACGGCUAACUACGUG